AGAAUGUUUUUAAAAACAAAAUUUAAUUUUGAACAAAUAUUUUUUUACAAAUAGAAACACGUAAAAACUAAAUAGUUUAUUAACAUUGUCAACUAGAUGACUUAACAAAAUAAAACGCAUUCUUUUUGGUAGAACACAAGAGUGAUUACGCGGUGUUUGGGGUUCCUGUGUUUAUGUCACGCAUUCUUCAUUGUUUUCAAAGUCUGUCGCGGUAGUGUCCAUUUAGAUAUGGCACCGUGUUAAUAAUGAGUGAAAUUAAGCGUGAUCCGGCCAGACUCGAUUCAACUGGUUUCAGAUCCAGUCAUGAUGAAUGCUUCGAACCUCUUCCAAGAGAUUUUCCUUGAUUGUAUCAGCUCGAACAUUGUAAUUAAAGUAUUGUACUGUG